GACGAACCGUGCGAACGUUGUUCGGAAUCACUGGGCUUAAAGGGCGCGUAGGCGGCUUGUCAAGUCAGGGGUGAAAUCUUUCGGCUUAACCGGAAAAGUGCCCUUGAUACUGAUGAGCUCGAGGGAGGUAGGGGCAUGUGGAACUUCUGGUGGAGCGGUGAAAUGCGUUGAUAUCAGAAGGAACGCCGGUGGCGAAAGCGACGUGCUGGACCUCUUCUGACGCUGAGGCGCGAAAGCUAGGGGAGCAAACGGG
rnacentral:rRNA from 1 species